UACGGAGGGAGCUAGCGUUAUUCGGAAUUACUGGGCGUAAAGGGCGCGCAGGCGGCGCGAGAAGUCAGGCGUGAAAGCCCCGGGCUCAACCUGGGAAUUGCGCUUGAUACUCUUGUGCUGGAGUUCGGGAGAGGAGAGUGGAAUUCCCAGUGUAGAGGUGAAAUUCGUAGAUAUUGGGAAGAACACCGGUGGCGAAGGCGGCUCUCUGGACCGAGACUGACGCUGAGGCGCGAAAGCGUGGGGAGCAAACAGG
rnacentral:rRNA from 1 species